CAACAACUCUCAACUCCUCUACCUUACUCAUCACAAACUCUAAAUCCUCUCUUGGCCUGACUCAUGUGUCCCUCCUUACUGUAAGACAGAAGCUUGUUCCUGGUUUACCGCCUCAAACAGAGAAAGAGGUGGAUGUACUGCAUGUCACAGUAGAAGGGGGUUUGUUGUACUGUCACAUGAUAACAGAACGAUUCUGGGCUUUUAAAUAGAUUAAAGCAGCAAGAUCAUUUGCACAGUGCACAAACCCAGCUUUACAUUAACUAUUUUAUUGCCAGCUAGUCCACCCAAGUUUUGUUCCAUUCCAUUCGCAUACUCCAUUUACCCGUUCCAAGAUUCUCUGAUUUGUCAAU